UACAGAGGUCCCAAGCGUUGUUCGGAUUCAUUGGGCGUAAAGGGUGCGUAGGCGGCGCGGUAAGUCGGGUGUGAAAUCUCAGAGCUCAACUCUGAAACUGCACUCGAUACUGCUUUGCUUGAGGACUGGAGAGGAGAUUGGAAUUCACGGUGUAGCAGUGAAAUGCGUAGAUAUCGUGAGGAAGACCAGUGGCGAAGGCGGAUCUCUGGACAGUUCCUGACGCUGAGGCGCGAAGGCCAGGGGAGCAAACGGG
rnacentral:rRNA from 1 species